GAACGCGAAGAACCUUACCAGGUCUUGACAUCCCUCUGACCGCUCUAGAGAUAGAGUUUUCCUUCGGGACAGAGGUGACAGGUGGUGCAUGGUUGUCGUCAGCUCGUGUCGUGAGAUGUUGGGUUAAGUCCCGCAACGAGCGCAACCCCUAUUGUUAGUUGCCAUCAUUUAGUUGGGCACUCUAGCGAGACUGCCGGUAAUAAACCGGAGGAAGGUGGGGAUGACGUCAAAUCAUCAUGCCCCUUAUGACCUGGGCUACACACGUGCUACAAUGGCUGGUACAACGAGUCGCAAGCCGGUGACGGCAAGCUAAUCUCUUAAAGCCAGUCUCAGUUCGGAUCGUAGGCUGCAACUCGCCUACAUGAAGUCGGAAUCGCUAGUAAUCGCGGAUCAGCACGCCGCCGGUGAAUACGUUCCCGGGUCUUGUACACACC
rnacentral:rRNA from 1 species